rnacentral:rRNA from 1 species
GUGUUGGAAGUAAAAGUGGUAACAAGGUUUCCGUAGGUGAACCUGCGGAAGGAUCAUUACUGAUUUGCUUAAUUGCACCACAUGUGUUUUUUAUUGAACAAAUUUCUUUGGUGGCGGGAGCAAUCCUACCGCCAGAGGUUAUAACUAAACCAAACUUUUUAUUUACAGUCAAACUUGAUUUAUUAUUACAAUAGUCAAAACUUUCAACAACGGAUCUCUUGGUUCUCGCAUCGAUGAAGAACGCAGCGAAAUGCGAUACGUAAUAUGAAUUGCAGAUAUUCGUGAAUCAUCGAAUCUUUGAACGCACAUUGCGCCCUUUGGUAUUCCAAAGGGCAUGCCUGUUUGAGCGUCAUUUCUCCCUCAAACCCCCGGGUUUGGUGUUGAGCAAUACGCUAGGUUUGUUUGAAAGAAUUUAACGUGGAAACUUAUUUUAAGCGACUUAGGUUUAUCCAAAACGCUUAUUUUGCUAGUGGCCACCACAAUUUAUUUCAUAACUUUGACCUCAAAUCAGGUAGGACUACCCGCUGAACUUAAGCAUAUCAAUAAGCGGAGGAAA